rnacentral:lncRNA from 1 species
UAGUAGGGUGUCCAAGCCUCCACUUCCGAGGUAUGAGUUGGGUCAUCAGACCUUUGCUCAGUCUUGGGUCCAUUGAAAGAGCUGGGUGAGAAGCCGCCUCACCGGGGAUUCUGGAUUAGGAUGAUCUGCAUUUAUAAUAUUCAUGAUUUCAAAUUAUGAGCACAAGUGGGGUUUGAUCACUGCUGAUUGAAGAAUUGCUGCUGAAGGCAGUGGAAGUGUGAGCUGAUGGGACAAACUUUGAAAUUAAGCAAGGACUCUGCAGGAUAUACAAGCUAUGGAAAGGAAAUAAAGUAGUUGGACCCU